CGGACGAACGCUGGCGGCGUGCUUAACACAUGCAAGUCGAACGGUGACGAGGAGCUUGCUCCUCUGAUCAGUGGCGAACGGGUGAGUAACACGUGAGCAACCUGCCCCAGACUCUGGGAUAACAGUUGGAAACAGCUGCUAAUACCGGAUACGAGACGGAGAGGCAUCUCUACCGUCUGGAAAGUUUUUCGGUCUGGGAUGGACUCGCGGCCUAUCAGCUAGUUGGUGAGGUAAUGGCUCACCAAGGCGACGACGGGUAGCCGGCCUGAGAGGGCGACCGGCCACACUGGGACUGAGACACGGCCCAGACUCCUACGGGAGGCAGCAGUGGGGAAUAUUGCACAAUGGGCGAAAGCCUGAUGCAGCGACGCCGCGUGAGGGAUGACGGCCUUCGGGUUGUAAACCUCUUUCAGCAGGGAAGAAGCGAAAGUGACGGUACCUGCAGAAGAAGCACCGGCUAACUACGUG
rnacentral:rRNA from 1 species